AACGAACGCUGGCGGCAGGCCUAACACAUGCAAGUCGAGCGCGCCUUUCGGGUGAGCGGCGGACGGGUUAGUAACGCGUGGGAACGUACCCUUCUCUACGGAAUAGCCUUUGGAAACGAAGAGUAAUACCGUAUACGCCCUUUGGGGGAAAGAUUUAUCGGAGAAGGAUCGGCCCGCGUUAGAUUAGAUAGUUGGUGGGGUAACGGCCUACCAAGUCUACGAUCUAUAGCUGGUUUUAGAGGAUGAUCAGCAACACUGGGACUGAGACACGGCCCAGACUCCUACGGGAGGCAGCAGUGGGGAAUCUUAGACAAUGGGCGCAAGCCUGAUCUAGCCAUGCCGCGUGAGUGAUGAAGGCCUUAGGGUCGUAAAGCUCUUUCGCCUGUGAUGAUAAUGACAGUAGCAGGUAAAGAAACCCCGGCUAACUCCGUGCCAGCAGCCGCGGUAAUACGGAGGGGGUUAGCGUUGUUCGGAAUUACUGGGCGUAAAGCGCACGUAGGCGGAUUGGAAAGUUGGGGGUGAAAUCCCGGGGCUCAACCCCGGAACUGCCUCCAAAACUAUCAGUCUAGAGUUCGAGAGAGGUGAGUGGAAUUCCAAGUGUAGAGGUGAAAUUCGUAGAUAUUUGGAGGAACACCAGUGGCGAAGGCGGCUCACUGGCUCGAUACUGACGCU
rnacentral:rRNA from 1 species